rnacentral:rRNA from 1 species
UACGAAGGGGGCUAGCGUUGUUCGGAAUUACUGGGCGUAAAGCGCACGUAGGCGGACUAUUAAGUCAGGGGUGAAAUCCCGGGGCUCAACCCCGGAACUGCCUUUGAUACUGGUAGUCUCGAGUCCGGAAGAGGUGAGUGGAAUUCCGAGUGUAGAGGUGAAAUUCGUAGAUAUUGGGAAGAAUACCAGUGGCGAAGGCGACUUACUGGACAACAACUGACGCUGAGGCGCGAAAGCGUGGGGAGCAAACAGG